GUAGGUGAACCUGCGGAAGGAUCAUUAACACGUAUCCAACGUUAAACAACCCUGCGAACCUUGAACGUGCUCUCGUACACGCUCUAGCAGCAAUCCCUGGUAAAUCAUUGUUGACCAGCUAUUGAGUCUGGGCACGAUACGAGCGCCAGAGUAAGUGCGGCCUGGCAUCCUAGCAAUCUGUCAGUGGUUGCGCAAGGAUGGCGCAGUAAACGAUCGCUGUAGGCCCACACGGCCGGCGACCGGGCCUCUGUGCUUCGGCACCUAAUGACACCAGUUUUCCGACCCGGUGCGCUGUAACAACCGCACCACAAACUCGAACAACUGUUAACAAUGGAUAUCUUGGUUCUU
rnacentral:misc_RNA from 1 species